rnacentral:rRNA from 1 species
AUUGAACGCUGGCGGCAGGCUUAACACAUGCAAGUCGAGCGGAGAGAGGUAGCUUGCUACUGAUCUUAGCGGCGGACGGGUGAGUAAUGCUUAGGAAUCUGCCUAUUAGUGGGGGACAACAUUUCGAAAGGAAUGCUAAUACCGCAUACGUCCUACGGGAGAAAGCAGGGGAUCUUCGGACCUUGCGCUAAUAGAUGAGCCUAAGUGGGAUUAGCUAGUUGGUGGGGUAAAGGCCUACCAAGGCGACGAUCUGUAGCGGGUCUGAGAGGAUGAUCCGCCACACUGGGACUGAGACACGGCCCAGACUCCUACGGGAGGCAGCAGUGGGGAAUAUUGGACAGUGGGCGCAAGCCUGAUCCAGCCAUGCCGCGUGUGUGAAGAAGGCCUUAUGGUUGUAAAGCACUUUAAGCGAGGAGGAGGCUACUUUAGUUAAUACCUAGAGAUAGUGGACGUUACUCGCAGAAUAAGCACCGGCUAACUCUGUGCCAGCAGCCGCCGCAGUAA